rnacentral:rRNA from 1 species
CCUACGGGGGGCAGCAGUGGGGAAUAUUGGGCAAUGGGCGCAAGCCUGACCCAGCAACGCCGCGUGAAGGAAGAAGGCUUUCGGGUUGUAAACUUCUUUUCUCAGGGACGAAGAAAGUGACGGUACCUGAGGAAUAAGCAACGGCUAACUACGUGCCAGCAGCCGCGGUACUACGUAGGUGGCAAGCGUUAUCCGGAUUUCUUGGGGGUAAAGGGCGUGUAGGCGGGCGAGCAAGUCAGAUGUGAAACCUCAGGGCUCAACCCUGGGCCUGCAUUUGAAACGGUGUUUCUUGAGUGCUGGGGGGGCAAGCGGAAUUCCGGGUGUAGCGGUGAAAUGCGUAGAUAUACGGAGGAACACCAGUGGCGAAGGCGGAUUGCUGGACAGUAACUGACGCUGAGGCGCGAAAGCGUGGGGAGCAAACAGGAUUAGAUACCCCAGUAGUC